AGACAGAUCCUCAAUGUCAAAGCC
rnacentral:siRNA from 1 species